rnacentral:lncRNA from 1 species
GAGGAGCGUACUUCCUCGGUCUUCCUCGUCCUCGUUUGACUUGCCUCCACGGUUGUUGGGUCGCGACGGAGGCGGAGUAAGGCGAUCCGUCGGGCAUGACCCCUUGCAGAGGUUGAGGCUGGAGCAGAGAGAGAGACCCGACAGAUGAACGGUUGUGCAUGGCCUGAGAAGUGGAGGUGGGACCCGCUAACGCGGCGGCGGCGUUGCGAUUCUGCUGUUGUUGGGUUUCUUUAGAAUCCAUGGAAGAAAAAGGAAGAAACUUUCUUGGAAAGACUCUGUUUUUGCGAGAAAGUGAAGGUUCUUUGAGCUAACACGAGUGUUCUUCAGAUAUAUAUAGUAGUGGUGACUAGUGAGAGACGCUUUUGUAUUUUAUUUUGAUUUAGUUAGAAAAAUUAAAUUAAAUAAAUCAUUGGCUUAGGUGUUUUCACUUUUCAGGGGAUUUAUUUUAUCGCUUUUCAUAUUAAUGAAAUAAAUAUAAAGAUCUGGUUUACCUUUAGGAUAUAGUUUGUUAAUCUGCAGGAGAAGAUUCAAGGAAGAAAAUAACACAAACAUUUAUCAAAAUUUUAUUCAAAUAAAAACAAAUGCACAUGAAUUACUAAGAGAAUAAUGUAUGUUUAAAUGUGUCAAACUAUAAAUUUAAGAAGAGAAAAUGUAUAUACUAUGUAGAUUCCAAACUAAUUGAUAAACUUAACUUACUAAUUUUUAAUUCUAUGAAAUUUAUAACAAAAAAAAAAGAAGAAGAUAGACCAACAUGAAUGUCAAACUGAUGUUAGUACACAAAGAUCCAAAUUUAUUUUCUGUAAAUAAACAGAAAUGUAACUUUCAACAUCUGAUUUCAUAUGAACUAGCUCCGGUUAUACUAUUAUACCACUCGGCCGUUAUAUCCAUCCACUCUUCUUCUCACAUACAUGUCACGAGAUUAUUCCAAUUCACCGGCCAUGUGAUUUGUAAUUAGUUUUGAGGGAUAAUCAAUGAGAUGAGAACAAAUCAUUGAGAUUCCAAUUCGGCUUGUCAAACAAUUUGCUAGUACAAAUCAUUUAUGAAAAAAUAAUUGCCAAUAUCAAGAAAUACAUACACUAAUAUCAUCAACAAUCAUGUUAGUGAAACAUCUAGACAGAAUAAUCCGGAUCAGGUUAAGACUAUUCGUUUGCAAGGGAAUCGAGAGCUUGCUGUAUGGUUUGAUUCGAGAGCUAACAGCUAGUUAUUUGAUUAAUUCAUUAUAGUACUAGCUUAUUCUUUAAGACAAACAUUCUUUUAAAUAAAGAAUCACUUGAUGUAAUCCAGUCUUUUGAAUAAGCCAUACAAAUUUAGAUAAGUUUUUCUUUGAUAAGUAAAAGUCAGACAGACUAUGAAAACUAUAGUUAGUUUUUUUCGUUUUGUAUUGACCAAAUUUUUUAUUGAAAACAAGAGAAGAUGUAAAUUAUGAGAAAUAUUUUUUUAUAAAAAAAAAUGAACUGAAACCUUCUUGGAAACUAAACCGGAUCAUUCGUUGAUUACAGAAUCAUCACACAAUCAAAAGAAACGAAGUAACAAACUAAAAGUAUGAACCCAACCCUACUUUAACAUCUCUCUCUUUUUCUGUUUAUCUAGCUACAUUGAAGAGAAGUAUGAACAAGAAGAAGACAAGAGAGUAAGAAAGAUCAAUCCACUUAUGGACAAUUCUGAUGGAACAAAGAAGUCAACCCCUUAGUGAGAAGGACCCAUGAACCAUUUACUUAUUGAGGAUUGUUGCGGUGGAAGAUGGUGAGGUGGUUGUGGCGUAGAGUUUCCAAGAGAUUUACUAGCAUUUGACUCGCUUGGUCCCUGAGACUGAGGUAAUCCUGGUCCACCACCACCAUCUGAGUUCAACACAUGGGCUGAUGCUGAAUCUGUGCUCAGUUUCACUCCCUCUCGUACAAAGGUUCCAACAAUGACCUAUAUAUAUAUGAACAACCAUAACCAAAGUCAGUCUCUUGAAGGUUCCGUUAACCAAACUCGUUAUUUGAGAAAUGGAUCGUAACCUGGACUGGUGAUCCAGCUACAAGCAUUCCACCAACAAAACCCCCCAGAACCGCGAAAUCAGGGCCAGCUAGAGACACUUUCAAGUUACCAGUUCUGGUCACAGUACCACCAUUACUCUCAGUAUUCGAGAAAGUAGCUGACAUAUGAGUGAUAACAUAUAGGCCCUGCAUGCAUACAUAAACAGAGCUUAAAUCAGAGUAAGAAGCAAGUAGUACUACUGCACAAGGACAUGAAAUGUUAUUAUACCUCAAGCUUAACAAGUCCAAAAGGAUUGUGAGAUUGAAUCACCGCACUAGAUACAGCUCCUGAAACUGAGAGAAUACAGACGUCGCGUGGUUCUUGAUUCACGAACGCCACUACCUUCAUAGCUAUGUCCUGAGUGAGUUAGAUGAUAACUUUUUUUUUAACUAAAAAUCUUUUAAAGGUUUAAAGAUUUGGUACACACAAGACGAGACACAUUACUACCUCUCCAGUAUUGACGUUAAUGACAUGAGCUGUAAGCGGUCCUCCUCCUCCUCCUACAAACAUUAACUAUAAGCAGCCAGUGAUCACAAAAGGGUAAUCAAGAAAGAUGGAGUCUUUGAAUGUUACCUGAAGCUUUGCGCGGCUGCUUAGUACGGGAGCCAAGAGGACGACCUCUGCGUUUAGCAGGUGGGCCAGCAUUUGCACCUCCGCCAUCAUUGACAUUGACAUUGACAUUGACAUCAGGAGGAGCGUACUUCCUCGGUCUUCCUCGUCCUCGUUUCUCGAUGGAGGCGGAGUAAGGCGAUCCGUGGAGCAUGACCCCUUGCAGAGGUUGAGGCUUGCGCAGAGAGAGAGCCCCGACAGAUGAACGGUUGUGCAUGGCCUGAGAAGGGGCGGUGGGACCCGCUAACGCGUCGGCGGCGUUGCGAUUCUGCUGCUGUUGGUGGGUUUCG